GGCGCGGUGGUGGAAUUGGUAGACACGCAUGGUUUAGGACCAUGUGUCCGAGAGGAUGUGUGGGUUCGAGUCCCACCCGCGCCACCA
rnacentral:tRNA from 1 species